UGGGGAAUCUUCGGCAAUGGGCGAAAGCCUGACCGAGCCAUGCCGCGUGAGUGACGAAGGCCUUAGGGUCGUAAAGCUCUUUCGCCAGGGAUGAUAAUGACAGUACCUGGUAAAGAAACCCCGGCUAACUCCGUGCCAGCAGCCGCGGUAAUACGGAGGGGGUUAGCGUUGUUCGGAAUUACUGGGCGUAAAGCGCGCGUAGGCGGAUUAGAAAGUUAGAGGUGAAAUCCCGGGGCUCAACCCCGGAACUGCCUUUAAAACUCCUAGUCUAGAGUUCGAGAGAGGUGAGUGGAAUUCCGAGUGUAGAGGUGAAAUUCGUAGAUAUUCGGAGGAACACCAGUGGCGAAGGCGGCUCACUGGCUCGAUACUGACGCUGAGGUGCGAAAGUGUGGGGAGCAAACAGGAUUAGAUACCCCCGUAGUCC
rnacentral:rRNA from 1 species